AAUUAGACCAAUUAGAGCUUGUACAGUUAAAUUAUCUGUCUUAUUACCUACUGAUAAACAGCCUUGUCAUAUCUUUACUCAGAUGAUGAAGCUUGGAAGUGUUUUAUGAGGAUUUACAUGGUUCUGGAAGGAUCACCUGUAAGCCUGGGCAGAGCUGACUCCACAUGGGUGAACUGAGCAAAGUGAUCCAGAAGAUAUGAGACUGUGAGCACAGAUAUUCACCUUGUAUGUCAGUACCACGUGUAUUUUAAAAUGAGCUCAAAGGGAAGAG
rnacentral:lncRNA from 12 species